rnacentral:rRNA from 1 species
UGAAUACGAGAUGCUACGGCGUCGAAGCAGUCUAUGUCAUACUUCCAAGAAAAGCUUGCACUAUCAUAAACAAAUAAUGCCUGUACCAUAACCGACACAGGUGGGUAGGUAGAGUAUACUAAGGGGCGCGAGAUAACUCUCUCUAAGGAACUCGGCAAAAUGACUCCGUAACUUCGGGAGAAGGAGUGCCUUAUUUAUAAGGUUGCAAUAACAAGAUCCAAGCAACUGUUUACCAAAAACACAGGUCUCCGCUAAGUCGUAAGACGAUGUAUGGGGGCUGACGCCUGCCCAGUGCCAGAAGGUUAAAGAAGUUGGUUAGCAUCCGCGAAGCUGAUAACUGAAGCCCUGGUGAACGGCGGCCGUAACAAUAACGGUCCUAAGGUAGCGAAAUUCCUUGUCGGGUAAGUUCCGACCCGCACGAAAGGCGUAAUGAUUUGGAUACUGUCUCGGAGAGGGGCUCGGUGAAAUAGACUUGUCUGUGAAGAUGCGGACUACCUGCACCAGGACAGAAAGACCCUAUGAAGCUUUACUGUAACCUGAAAUUGAAAUUGGACUUUACUUGCGCAGUAUAGGUGGGAGGCGUUGAGAAUAUUCUUGCGGGAUUAUUGGAGCCAUCAGUGAGAUACCACUCUUGUAAUGUUAGAUUUCUAACUUUGUAUCAUUAUCUGGUCAAAGAACAGUUUCAGGCGGGCAGUUUGACUGGGGCGGUCGCCUCCUAAACGGUAACGGAGGCGCACAAAGGUUUCCUCUGAACGGGUAGAAAUCGUAUCUAGAGUGUAAAGGCAUAAGGAAGCUUGACUGUGAGACCUACAAGUCGAGCAGGGACGAAAGUCGGUCUUAGUGAUCUGACGGUGCUGAGUGGAAAGGCCGUCACUCAACGGAUAAAAGUUACUCUAAGGAUAACAGGCUGAUCUCCCCCAAGAGUUCACAUCGACGGGGAGGUUUGGCACCUCGAUGUCGGCUCAUCGCAUCCUGGGGCGGUAGUACGUCCCAAGGGUUGGGCUGUUCGCCCAUGAAAGCGGUACGCGAGCUGGGUUCAGAACGUCGUGAGACAGUUCGGUCCAUAUCCGGUGUAGGCGUUAGAAUAUUGAGAGGAGCCUUCUUUAGUACGAGAGGACCGAGAAGGACAUACCUCUGGUGUACCAGUUAUCGUGCCAACGGUAAACGCUGGGUAGCUAUGUGUGGAGUGGAUAACCGCUGAAAGCAUCUAAGUGGGAAGCCCACCUCAAGAUGAGUGCUCUCACAGGGUUAACCUGGUAAGGUCACGGGAAGACCACCCGUUAAUAGGCACUAGGUGGAAGUCCAGUAAUGGAUGGAGCCAAGGUGUACUAACAGACCGAGGGCUUGAC